GGAUGAACGCUGGCGGCGUGCUUAACACAUGCAAGUCGAACGAUGAAGCCCAGCUUGCUGGGUGGAUUAGUGGCGAACGGGUGAGUAACACGUGAGUAACCUGCCCUUAACUCUGGGAUAAGCCUGGGAAACURGGUCUAAUACCGGAUAGGAGCGYCYACCGCAUGGUGGGUGUUGGAAAGAUUUAUCGGUUUUGGAUGGACUCGCGGCCUAUCAGCUUGUUGGUGAGGUAAUGGCUCACCAAGGCGACGACGGGUAGCCGGCCUGAGAGGGUGACCGGCCACACUGGGACUGAGACACGGCCCAGACUCCUACGGGAGGCAGCAGUGGGGAAUAUUGCACAAUGGGCGMAAGCCUGAUGCAGCGACGCCGCGUGAGGGAUGACGGCCUUCGGGUUGUAAACCUCUUUCAGUAGGGAAGAAGCGAAAGUGACGGUACCUGCAGAAGAAGCACCGGCUAACUACGU
rnacentral:rRNA from 1 species